rnacentral:misc_RNA from 1 species
CAUUUAUUCUUGCUGGAGGAUCUGGUAUGCAUCUCCUGAUGUCAUUAGAUAACUUAUAUUAGGGCCUUCUAAGAGUUUGACUAUUUGGCUCUGCCCUUUUUUCUGUGAGAUUGUAAAUGAAAGAGGAAUGGGUUUUCCUUUGAGAACUGUGUAGAUGGGUUUGAUUUUAAUUAUGAUUUGGCAAGUUUAGUGUUAAUCUCUACUUGUUUACUUGGCCUACUGGCUUCAGUGGCUUACUUUCAAUGUUAAUAUAUUCCUCCAUCGCAUCUUUUGUAUUGGUCAAAUUAGAUCAAGCCUUCUAUGUUGUUUCUCUUUUUUUUCCCCACUAAAUAUGCCCCUGUGGAUCUCUCUCUUCUUACACUAACUAUGGAAGUUUAUGGCUUUUGAUUUUGCUAGUUAUGCAGAAAAAUCUUGAGGUG